AUAAGGGAAAUAUCUUACUGCUAAUUAUGCUUAUUAUCAUUAUCAUUGCAUUAAUUAACUUUGCAUUAAAGUCAUGAUCAUUGCAUUAAACCAUAUAAUAAUCACUUCAUUGAAGCAGUUAUUGAAGCUGCUGACAUUACAUUAAAGUCUGUAUUACAGGUGUUAUCAUAAUCACAUAAUAAUCUCUCAUUGCAGGCGCAACUGUAAUCAUGCUAUACACAUUGCAAUUUGGUGCUUAUUAAAGAGUUGUGGCUCAGUCAAUUAAUCAGAAGGUUGAAAGCUCCGUUGGGUGUGAAUGUCCCGGCGAAACAUGGAGUAAGUGGCUUGGAGCUAUGGAAGGUUCAAUGCAUGCACGCCUACAAAACACAUAUAAUACAUUUAAUCAAGAAACAGGCUGGAGUGAAGGCCUGAAUGUAUUCAGCUUCUUGUUGCAGUUGAGUUUGCCCAGAUACAGGUGACAGAAGAGGUGGCCAGAUGACUGCCAUCCCCAAGGACCAUCUGGAGGAUGCAGCGAGUGGCCUUAUAUGGAAAAUGUGAUAGAGACAGGAACUUCUAUGUCUAUUUUAGCUUAUGAAAAUGAAUAUUUACUGUAUCUGAUAUAUCACAAUCUUUGUAAACGCAUAAGGGGGCGUCAACCCUGAUGAAUCAAAAGCAAUCUGAAGUGUCUUUUUGGGUGGAGUCCUACAACUGAUGUUUGGCAGUUCGUACCUCCCCGCAUGUGUAUUCAAUAAACUCUUCCGUUUGAUUGCAUCCUUCUGGGCCUUUGGUAUUUUGUUUUGGAUCUCAGUAUUUCGAAUCGGGACAGUUUUGGUGCCGUGACCCGGAUAUCUGAGUCCAUUGACUUGGUUCUGAGGUUCUGGUGGAGAAAAACAGAGGCCAGAGGUGGUCAAACAGGCAGACGGGACCCAGUGGUUCGGCUGAGUGUUCAGGGCCCUGACAAAAAAGGUAGGCACAGCCUGUUAAAUCAAAAUGUGCUGAUUGAAAUAUUAUAUUCUAAAUUUACUCAGCUAAAUUACUGAUGGAUGUCUGUUUGAGUAAUUGUUGAGAAAUUGAAGCUUCAUAAGAUGUUGAAAAGGUCAAGCUUGAUGUUCUUAUGAUAAAAGUGAGAAAGACAAUAAGGUGUCUUUAGAAUAUUGAAGGUGAAAUAAGUUAAUAUAUUGAAGGUGAAAUAACUUUAAAGUUCAGGGGUGGAGACCCCCCCUCUAUCGGAGACGUCCUUUAGAGCCCGCUAAGGUUGCGGUCACUCCAGAUUGACCAUCUGCCGACGACUUGGGACCGCGGUAUUAAAAUUGGUUAUGAUCAGAGGAUCAUGUUGGUAUAAAGUUAUUGUUUCAUAGAGAAAGUAAUCUUGGACAUAGAGGUCCGACAAACAAACCUUGGGUUGUGCAAGGUUUUCUCAUGUGAGGCAGAAUUUCAGGAAGCCAAGUGUUUGAUAGGUUUUCUGAGAAAGUAAUGUUGAGAAGAAUAAAUGUUGACAUUACUGAGUUAAUGUUGAUAAAGGUCAGUGGAUCUGCUGUGGUCCUGUAAAGAAACAUUGCUGGUUGUGAGAAGUAUUGAGUGAAUAUUUCUGAGUCUACUCUGAGUCAGUGCAGGCGUCAAGGUUGACUGAUUUGACACUGAAUGUUGCGUGUAUCACUCCCUGGCAGAUACCCAGGUUUUGAAAUAGUGUCGGAUCCCAUGAUUUUCAGGUGAUGAAUUGCCUGACAAUAGGAGUCAGAAAAGGACUUUUUGAUGCUAUAUUUUGUGUGAUUUGAGAAAGAUUGUGUUCGAUCUGUGUUCGAAUAGACACACACACACACACAUUCAUUGCAGCUGUUGGGUGUGAACAACUUCCUCUUUUAAAUUUAAACUGCGACACAUGUGUUCAUUGAACUAGAACUUCAGCAGUGAAUGAGACAGGAUUUAGAAUUUCAGAAAAUAGAGUCAGAAACGGUUUUGUGGCUCUUGGUAAACUGACUUUGAAGGAAAAAUCAGUGUUUAUUGUGCUGGAGUAACAGAUCCGGCGUGGUCUGAAGUGUAGAAUCAGCUGGGUGUACAGCGUUGUUGAUAUUAACAGAUCCGGCAUGGUCUGAAGUUUGGUGGAUCCGCUGAGGUCCAGAAGAAUAGUCAGUGCGGACUGCGUUGGUUUGAAAUCUUGAUAAAUGAUCCAGGAAGAAUUGCCCUGGGUCUCUGUGUGUGUGAGCUGUUGAGUAACAGCCUACGCAGUUAGAAUUGGGUGCUGGUUACUUCCUCUUUUCAGUUUCGAAAAAGAAGAGUUUUGGUUUCACUUUAAAGUUUGAUUACGUAUUACUGGGUGAAACACGGUUUCACUUGUGAUUAAGGAAAUAAUAUGCUUACUUUUGGGUCUAUGAAAAUUGAAUAACAGUGGGUGAUCUCUGUGACAACAUACAGUGUUGAGAUACUGGAUGUUGAAUUGAAGAUAGUGGAUCUUGACGUUUUGUUUUUAUUGAUUUUAAAACCAGCAGAGAGUUUAUAUUUGCUCAGUCUUUUGACUGCCUGAGCUGACUUCCUCUUUCUCAGUGAACAGCUGUGUGCAGCUGAAUUAAAGGACUGAGAGAACAGAGGGAGUGAUUUUCAAGCUUUGUGCGUGUUUACACCAAAAGUGGCUGGUUUGGUGCAUUCAUGAGGUGAAUGCAAGAUUAACAUUGUUGAGCUGAUAAUUGUGGUGGGCUUGGUGCAUACUUCAGGUGAAUCCAGUAUUGACAUUGCUGGGUUGACUAUUGUGUUUCACCCCUAGAGUGAAAACAGAAACUGAAGCAGCUGAAUGAAGACACACUGGGCCAGUAAGUGAACAGGAAGACCAGUGCAGAGAUGAAAACAUUGAAAGAGAACCACAGUGAGUGUUGCAAAUGGAUGAUCAUGUGCCAAGGAAUAUCCGGUUGGAUGAAAGAGGAUGUAAAGAGCAUCCUAAAGUCUUUGCAAGAUUUGCAACAGGAAAAUAAGAAACUAGAGGGACAGAUACAGACUCUGUCCAUAAACAAAGAGGAACUGGAGCUCCUGAAUGAUGUACCAUAUGACACAGUGGAGCAUCAACCAGCCGAUGCAGUCAGGAGAACCACAUGACUGCACCAAGAAAGCUGAAGCUGAAGAAAAGUCGGAGAGACCUGGAGACUUGAAGGGGCAACAGUCAGCUCAGAGAGCAGAAGAAAUUGCACUGAGCAGGGCCCUGAGACUGGCUAAAGAAAAGAGAGCGAAGAUAUACACAGAUUCAGCUCAUGCAUUUGGGGCAGCACACGUGGAGCCCACUCAAUGGAAGAGAGCAGGCUUCAGAGCGGCAACAAAUGCUCACAUUUCAAAGAAGAAAGAAAUGGGAGGACUGGAAAAGGUCCUGGAUGACCCAAACGAGGUCAGUAUCAUAAAAUGCAAAGGAUACUCUCAACCAACCACAUUGGUGGCACAAGGGAACCAGAGAGCAGAUGAGGCUGCCAAGUAAGCAGCAGGCUACAAAGGAAAGCAGCAAAUGGUGAGAGGCCGGGGUAAAAAGAGUGAGUUCGGACGAAGAAGUCCGAGAAAAGGACACCUUGAGUUGAGCAAGGUGUUUAAAUGACUCAGGAUUUCAGAGAAUUGAGUCAGCUGUGAUCUUGAGUUCUAAUGGUAAAUUGAUUUUAAAGGAAAAUCAGUGUUUACCAUGUUGAAGUAAUUGUGAAAAUAUUACUAGAUGUGCUGUGAUACAAGUGAAGAAUAAGUUGUGUACAUGGGGAUACACAAUUGUGUUGAUAUUGAUGGAUCGGCUGCAGUCCAUGUGAUAAGUUAAUACUGGGUGCAUUGAGACAAGAAA